UACGUAGGGUGCGAGCGUUGUCCGGAAUUACUGGGCGUAAAGAGCUCGUAGGUGGUUUGUCGCGUUGUUCGUGAAAACCGGGGGCUUAACCUUGGGCGUGCGGGCGAUACGGGCAGACUGGAGUACUGCAGGGGAGACUGGAAUUCCUGGUGUAGCGGUGGAAUGCGCAGAUAUCAGGAGGAACACCGGUGGCGAAGGCGGGUCUCUGGGCCGAUACUGACGCUGAGGAGCGAAAGCGUGGGGAGCGAACAGG
rnacentral:rRNA from 1 species